CAUAUUUUUGAAUUUGAAUUUUGGGAGAAAAUAACCUAUAAAUACUACAUGCUCUGUUAUGAAAUCUCACAUUUGAAUUGAAGCACAAAGAGAGAUAAACAGCAGGAAACAAGAGGUGAUUUAUUAUCGAAGCGAGCUUCACCGCAGAGGGGAUAAGCAACGAAAAAAAGUAAGCUGCUUCGUCGAGGAAAUGGUCACGCCAGUUACAGCCUCGCAGCCUCGCCGACCGCUAUAUCCCCACCAACUCGACGGCCGUGAGAGGGAAGAAAGGAUGCCGGAGUUUCGCCCGGAAUACUGAGGCAUGUGGCGUCCGGGUGGAGAAAUGGAGAUGGAGGGUUGAUUUACUGAUAGUCUUGACGACCAAUUUCUCCAUAGGAGGCUUGAAAGCUUACAUCCUGCAUUCUUGCUUUAUUUUUAUUUUUUUUAUUACCAGUAAUUAUUAUUUGUAUUUUUAUAUUAAUUAUUAAAUUAUUAAAUCAAAGUAGCCAUGGGCAUUGAGUCCAUGUCACAGUACUGUGGAUUAAUUAUUACAUAUAUAUGCAGUGAGAUGUUGUUUUUUUUGGAUUUGAUUAAUCAUUAAAGUUCUAAAUUUAAAAUGAUAA